rnacentral:rRNA from 1 species
UACGUAGGUGGCAAGCGUUGUCCGGAUUUACUGGGCGUAAAGAGCGCGCAGGCGGUCGUUCAAGUCGAGUGUGAAAGCCCCCGGCUCAACUGGGGAGGGUCACUCGAUACCGAUCGACUCGAAGGCAGAAGAGGGAAGCGGAAUUCCCGGUGUAGUGGUGAAAUGCGUAGAUAUCGGGAGGAACACCAGUGGCGAAGGCGGCUUUCUGGUCUGCUCUUGACGCUGAGGCGCGAAAGCUAGGGUAGCAAACGGG